CCCCUCUUCCCUUUUCCGGUGUGACGGUCCCCAAAUGGCCCUGGGCUCCAGUUCCUCUCGCACUAAUGCUGCCACUUCCUAACUCGACCUCUAGGGCGUCUCCCCUCCGCUCAGAACUCAGGUCUCCAACUCUGCCACACGCAAGGAUCUCGGGAUUCAAAGACUGGAGGAGAGGGACAUUAGUGCUGGCUGGAAACAACAGAGGCAAACAUCUUCCCACAGAGAGCUGAGUUGCUCCUUUCUCAUUUCUGAAGAAUCAGAGCUGAGGUGGGUUAAGGCUUCAGGGUAGGCGUGUGCCCAGGGACAGUGGGUCCUAAUAGAGUCAAAGCCAGAGCUGAACUUGGAUCUUAACAGAGUUUCACAGCCUCAUAGGUGGCGCUCAAGCCAGAAGUCAUCAGGACCUCUGAGCCUGCCACGUCUUCCCUCAUUUGCCUACCUACCACUGCUGAGAAAUCAGACUGCCUCACAGGGGCUUUGAG
rnacentral:lncRNA from 1 species